rnacentral:rRNA from 1 species
CAAGUAGGCGGUCUUGUCGGUCAGAUGUGAAAGCCCAGGGCUCAACCCUGGACGUGCAUUUGAAACAGCAAGACUUGAGUACGGGAGAGGAGAGCGGAAUUCCUGGUGUAGAGGUGAAAUUCGUAGAUAUCAGGAGGAACACCGAUGGCGAAGGCAGCUCUCUGGACCGAUACUGACGCUGAGGCGCGAAGGCGUGGGGAGCAAACAGGAUUAGAUACCCUGGUAGUC